rnacentral:rRNA from 1 species
UCAGCAGUCAAGAAUAUUAGUCAAUGCUCGCAAGAGUGAACUAGCUAACUGAAAUCCUUGGUGUGUCAUCGAGGAUAACGUAAGGGAAAAUAAUGAUACCACCUUACUAUUAGUGUCGUCCAAAUGCUCGUGCCAGAAGACUCGGUAAGGCGAGAGACGCAAACGUUAUUCGUCUUGAUCAGGCGUAAAGGGUUUGUAGGCGGCUUUAAGUAUCCAAUUUUAAGUUUACUAUUAUAAUGCUAUAAGUGUUAUAAUAUUUAUUAAAGGGUCAAUUAAAGCUAGAAUCUAACAGAGGUUAAAACAAUACUUAAGGUAGGUGUACUAACCAUAAAUAAUAAGCAGAGUGUUAAGGGCGAAGGCAUUUAUCCACUGAAGAUUGACGCUGAGAAACGAAGGUGAGGACAGAAAAAAGGAUUAGAGACCCUUGUAUCCCUCACUGUCAACGAUGAAUGGUAGUUACUAGGGAGAAAUAACCUAGAGACGAUGUUAACACGAAAACCAUUCCGCCUUGUGAGUACGACUGCAAAGUUGAAAACAAAAAAAUUAGUCGGUUUCGGAGCAAACGAAGUGAAGCAUGUUAUUUAAUUCGAUAAUCCGC